UACAGAGGUCUCAAGCGUUGUUCGGAUUCAUUGGGCGUAAAGGGUGCUUAGGCGGCGCGGUAAGUCGGGUGUGAAAUCUCGGAGCUUAACUCCGAAACUGCAUUCGAUACUGCCGUGCUUGAGGACUGGAGAGGAGACUGGAAUUUACGGUGUAGCGGUGAAAUGCGUAGAUAUCGUAAGGAAGACCAGUGGCGAAGGCGGGUCUCUGGACAGUUCCUGACACUGAGGCACGAAGGCUAGGGGAGCAAACGGG
rnacentral:rRNA from 1 species